UACGUAGGGACCAAGCGUUGUCCGGAAUUAUUGGGCGUAAAGAGCUCGUAGGCGGCUGUCCACGUCGGAUGUGAAAGCUCGGGGCUCAACCCUGAGAGGCCAUUCGAUACGGGAUAGCUAGAGGUAGGUAGGGGAGAUUGGAAUUCCUGGUGUAGCGGUGAAAUGCGCAGAUAUCAGGAGGAACACCGGUGGCGAAGGCGGACC
rnacentral:rRNA from 1 species